CAAGACUUGACAUCCCGCUGACCGUUCUAGAGAUAGAGCUUCCCUUCGGGGCAGCGGUGACAGGUGGUGCAUGGUUGUCGUCAGCUCGUGUCGUGAGAUGUUGGGUUAAGUCCCGCAACGAGCGCAACCCCUAUGUUGUGUUGCUACCAUUUAGUUGAGCACUUACAACAGACUGCCGGUGACAAACCGGAGGAAGGCGGGGAUGACGUCAAAUCAUCAUGCCCCUUAUGUCUUGGGCUACACACGUGCUACAAUGGACGGUACAAAGGGUUGCGAAGCCGCGAGGUGGAGCCAAUCCCAUAAAGCCGUUCGUAGUUCGGAUUGCAGGCUGCAACUCGCCUGCGUGAAGCCGGAAUUGCUAGUAAUCGCGGAUCAACAUGCCGCGGUGAAUUCGUUCCCGGGCCUUGUACACACCGCCCGUCACACCAUGGGAGUUGGUAACACCCGAAGUCGGUGAGGUAACUGCUUGCAGAGCCAGCCGCCUAAAGUGGGAUCGAUAACUGGGGUG
rnacentral:rRNA from 1 species